rnacentral:rRNA from 1 species
GACGAAUGAUGGAGGCGGGCUGAACACAUGCAAGUCGAACGGAAAGGCCCUGCUUUUGUGGGGUGCUCGAGUGGCGAACGGGUGAGUAACACGUGAGUAACCUGCCCUUGACUUUGGGAUAACUUCAGGAAACUGGGGCUAAUACCGGAUAGGAGCUCCUGCUGCAUGGUGGGGGUUGGAAAGUUUCGGCGGUUGGGGAUGGACUCGCGGCUUAUCAGCUUGUUGGUGGGGUAGUGGCUUACCAAGGCUUUGACGGGUAGCCGGCCUGAGAGGGUGACCGGCCACAUUGGGACUGAGAUACGGCCCAGACUCCUACGGGAGGCAGCAGUGGGGAAUAUUGCACAAUGGGCGGAAGCCUGAUGCAGCAACGCCGCGUGCGGGAUGACGGCCUUCGGGUUGUAAACCGCUUUCGCCUGUGACGAAGCGUGAGUGACGGUAAUGGGUAAAGAAGCACCGGCUAACUACGUG